AACGAACGCUGGCGGCAUGCCUAACACAUGCAAGUCGAACGGGAUCCUAGCUUGCUAGGUGAGAGUGGCGGACGGGUGAGUAACACGUGGGAAUCUGCCUUUUGGUUCGGGAUAACCGCGGGAAACUGCGGCUAAUACCGAAUGCCCUCGAGAGAGGAAAGAUUUAUCGCCAGAAGAGGAGCCCGCGUCCGAUUAGGUAGUUGGUGGGGUAAAGGCCUACCAAGCCGACGAUCGGUAGCUGGUCUGAGAGGAUGAUCAGCCACACUGGGACUGAGAUACGGCCCAGACUCCUACGGGAGGCAGCAGUGGGGAAUAUUGGACAAUGGGGGCAACCCUGAUCCAGCAAUGCCGCGUGAGUGAUGAAGGCCUUAGGGUUGUAAAGCUCUUUUGCCAGGGAAGAAACGGUGAGUUCUAAUACAGCUUGCUAAUGACGGUACCUGAAGAAUAAGCACCGGCUAACUACGUGCCAGCAGCCGCGGUAAU
rnacentral:rRNA from 1 species